rnacentral:ncRNA from 1 species
AUGGAGGAGUUUUAUUCUUGUUUAUUCUUGUUUAUUUUGACUUUAUUUUAUAUGUGUAUUUUUGUGUGAAUGAUUUUUUGAUUUGAUUAGUUCUUGAUGAUUAAUCAUUGGUUUAUAUGAUGUUUUGCAGUAUGUAAAUUUAUUCAUUUAAGUUUUCUUAGAUUUAGUAAUAGUUUUUGAGUUAUCGGUAAAAUUUGUGCCAGCAACCGCGGUUAUACAUGGGAUGCAAGUGAAUAUUUAUGGAUUUGUAGUUAUGUUUAUUUUUGUUUAUAAUUUAUUUUAUUUAUUUUUUGGUGGAAUAUUGAUUUUUUAUUAGUUAUUUUUUUUAUUCUGAGAUUAUGAAAUCUUAAAUAUUAAACUAGGAUUAGAUACCCUAUUAUUAAAGAUGUAAAAAAUUGUUCUUGAGUAGUACUAGUUAAGGUCUUGAAACUUAAAGAAUUUGGCGGUAUUUUAGUCUGUUUAGAGGAAUCUGCCCCGUGAUCGAUAUUCCCCGUUGGAACUUACUUGAUUUAUGUUUAUAUACCGCCGUUUUAUUGAGGAUCUUUUUAGAGCUGUGAAUUUUCUUUUUAUUUUUGUUAGAUAAUAUUUCAGGUCAAGGUUUAAUUAAUAAUUAAGUGGAGGUGGAUUACAAUAAUAUUUAUUAUACAGAUUAUUAAUUGUAAUAUUAAUAUGAAGGUGGAUUUAAUAGUAAUUUUAUUUAAUAUGUUAAUGUGAUUUUAGCUCUAGAAUGUGUACACAUCGCCCGUCGCUCUCAUUAUUUAAGGUGAGAUAAGUCGUAACAUAGUAGCGGUACUGGAAAGUGUUGCUAGAAUGAAGAU